rnacentral:lncRNA from 1 species
GAUUAUCUAUUAGCCGAGCAAGAUGGUAUCUAUGCGAUUGCUAAUACUGCAUGUUGUACCCAGGUUAACUUCUCCAGUGAACACUUGGCAGGACAACAGGCAGACAAGGAGCAGCCUGGGCUACACCCUCCUCCAUCCAGCUUGGCAGGGAAGGUUGGGGCAGGGCCUCGCUAGGAGAUAGGGACUGGAGGGCGAGGCCAGGGGCAGGGUUAGGCAUGGGGACAGCACCACGGUGGGGCCUUCCUGGCUCACUGUCCACUACCAGGUACUGGGAUCCCCAGUUAUUUUAUUGCCUCACCGUGAAAAGAAGUGAAAGCAUUCCCUAAACAUAAUUUCAUCAUUGUCUUUAUCUCUCUCCCGCCACAUUUCUUCUUUUCUAUUGCUCUUUCUCUCACAAAAGCAGGGGAUAUAUAUCAAACUUGCUAAGUGGUUCUAUUGAAGCUUCUUCCAUUAAGCUUGAGAUAAGGAGAAAAACACCCCUCUCCCUGUUAGGAGGAUUUGGGGUUCACUAUGCAGCUUUCUCUGAAAGAAAACUUUACAAGACACUCUCUUACUUCCAGCUCUCAGCUCUUUUUAGAUCCACAUUAGAUUGAGAGGCUCAAGUGUCACGAUAUUGAUUAUUAUUAUUGAGUAUUUCCUAUCAAUAUCUUCAUUUUGUGUGUCACAAUUCACUUUAAUAUCUGUUGUCUCCCAGGUCUUGGUGCCUCAGUUGAAACUUCCAAUUUAACAUCCUGACACACACUACUCCCUCUUCUUGUGAUCAUCAGAACAAGAUAAAACCUUG